AGCUCGGCCGCGCUCCUCCCCCGGUGGGGCGCUCUCCGCCCGCCUCGCGCGGCCCCGACCCCAAGACCCAGGCCCCGAAAGGCGAGCGUUCACUUACCUGCUCCCCUCUCUCGCUCUCCGCUGCCGCCGCUGCGCCGCUCACCCACGCUGUCCGGUGAGCCACCCCCAGCACACAGACCCCUACGCGUACACCCGAGGCACGGCCCCAGGCCCUUGAGGGGAGACCGCGGCCCAGCCACACAGGUUGGGGUAGCCCACGCACCACUCGGCUUCGAACACCUCUGCCCCCGGAAGUUGAUUUCCGCCAAGGCCCGCCCAACACAGCGCCCGUCACUCAACGUAAACACGCGCGUCACGUGGCCCCAGGCUGAGGCCCGGGUCGGGGCCCCAUGUUGAGAACCCUGCCACCCCAACUUGAGCGUGGUCUUUGGAGAGUUGCCCUGUGAAAAGGGGUGACUUUGCCAUGCUCCUUCCCAGUCCACCUCCUGUUAGUUACAGUUUCUCAUUCCUUUUGAGUAGCAGGCCCUGUUGCUCCACCUAAUCCCUGCAAAUAAACCGUCCCCCAAAUCAAAAUGAGUUCCAUCGGGAACUUUGUAGGAUUGGUCCUAAGAAGAUCCCGCCGAAUCUCUCCACCACUUCCAAGCAGAGUGCAGUAAAACCGGGGACUAAGCAAAGUGGCUGACAUGUAGUAAGUGCUCAAGAAAUGGAUGUUGACUAGAUGCUACCUCUCAUCUUUGCCUGUCUGAACUUUCAAGCACCGGAUGCGAGUAGACCGAGAGCCUCCGCCAACCAGUAAGAUGACUUCGGUCAAAGAAUUCUGCUCUAGAGUUACUUUUGUUCUUGUCUUCAACUCCAGAUCACAGCAAUUCAUACGUGCCAUCUCUGUUGCAGAGUUUUCUUGCAAAGCCUUUCUUAAAAGCUUUCUGUCAAAUAGCUUGUCCUGAAGCAAUAGGAAAAGAAUAGCGUAAUUCACAGAUUAUUUAUUUGAAAGGAAGGAAUGAUUAUAUAGAUGUCUUUGUCCGUUUCAGACUGUCAAUAGCGAUGAGAGAAACAGUCAACUAGCAGUCCACUCGUGAAUGUUUCUUCCGUUUUUGCCAUGGGAGGAUUUGGAAGAACAUUCAUUCAACAAUUUUUUAUUGAUUGUAUACCACAUACCUAGUCCUGGGUCAAGUUUUGACAAUUCAAGAGUGAACAAGGUAACACUCAAGAUAUUUGUCUUCAAGGAGCUUACAGUCUAGUGAGGAAGAAAGACACUAACCUGGGGACUUUGAGCAUAAAUCUCUGGAAUAUUCACAUUCCUUGUAUAACAAGUAUUCUUUCAUCCUUGGACACUGGGUUUCUCAUCUGUUGAACAAAAUUGGCUUAAACCUGUAAUCUCUGUUCUGUACUGGAAGCAGAAAAUAUUAGCAAGGCAUCCUGACAAGUGUGCCGUAAGUGCUGGCCUAAGUAGUUAAUGAGCAGUUUCAGUAUUGAGCAAGUCACCUUGACUACAUUAUUUUUCCAGCCCACCCCCUUCUUUGUGCAUACAAAAAACAUUUCUAUUGUAAGAAAUAUAAUGCUUUCUUACAUGUAUUUGUUUAUCUGUCUACUAGACUACCAAGUCAAGGACCACUUCUCACUUGUAUAUCCAGCAAUCUGCUCACUUCUCAUUUGUCUUUGUAUAUCCAGCAGUCUAGCAAAGUGUCUAGUAGUUAGAAAAAAGGUAUUCAUAAAUAUUUCUUAAACUUAGUAAAGUUACCUUUAUAUUAUUUUGUCUCUCAUAUCUCCUUCUGCUGGAAACCAGGUAAGUUUCUGGGAGUUCCUUCCCAUUGAUGUACUUACAUGUUCACUCUGUCCCGAUAUUCAAUACUAAACUGUAUUCCAUACUAAACAGAUUUAUAAUAAGAGUAACUAAUAUUUAUUAUUAAUAUUUGCUAUGUGCCUGGCAUUAGAUUAAAUAUUUUAAAUCUCAUAUAUAACUUACCACAAUAAUUUUACAAAGUAGGUAUAUUAAUAUAUUUAUACUUUAGAUGAGGUUACAGAUUUAGGAAGUGUAAAUUGACCAAGUGGAUUUAAAGCCAGAUCUGCCCAACAGAAGGACUUGUUUAUUCACUAUAGGACAUCACUUUGCUUUUUAUAUCACUUCCUUAUCAGUGAUAUAAAAUCCUACCAACUCCAUGAAAUCUUUAUUCCUUCCCCACAGUAAUCUCUUUUUCUUUAUAAAGUAAACAAUUCAAUGAUUUUAGUAUAUUCACAGAGUUGUGCAUGCUUUACCACAAUCAAUUUUAGAGUAUUUUCACAGCCCCAAAAAGAAACCCCAUCCCCUUUGGCCCCAACUUCUCCCUCCUCUCCCCAGCUCUAGGCAACCAGUAAUCCACUUUCCGUCUGUAUGCAUUUGUCUAUCCUGAACAUUUCAUAUAAAUGGAAUCAUGCAAUGUG
rnacentral:antisense_RNA from 1 species